CCAAGAUUUGCUUCCCCCAGCCACAAGUGUCCGACGACAGUCAUGAAUGUCUGAGAGACCAAGACAGGGCUAGCAUCUCGAAAAAUGGAAGAGGAGGAAGGUGGCGGAACUUACAUAGCCCAAAUCUGGCGUGAUUUAGAAAAGGGCAUUGAACAAGUUUAUAGACGUGAAGCGAUGUCUAGACUUCGCUAUAUGGAAUUGUACAAUCAUGUUUAUAACUACUGUACAAGUGUUUAUCCAAAAAUUGAUGAAGUAACAAACUAUCCAAAGAGCUGUAUUGUUCCGCUAAACGUUUUGAAACUGUAUGAGAGACUGACAACUUUUCUCAGGGUCUAUCUUAUAGAUAUGGUGGUGGAGGGAGCUGAACUUAUGGAUGAAAAUCUCCUAGUGUACUACACAAAGCAAUGGGAAGACUUCCAGUUCAGUUCCAAAGUUCUGAACGGAAUCUGCGCUUACCUUAACAGGCAUUGGAUCCCAAGAGAACAUGACCGAGUCAGGAAGGAUAUAUACGAAAUAUAUAAGAUAGCAUUAAUAUAUUGGAGAGAGGAAAUGUAUUUAACGUUGAACAAUCAGGUAGUGAGUGCUGUUUUGAAACUGAUUGAAAGGGAACGUAAAGGAGAAACAGUAAACACAAGAUUAAUAAGUGAAGUUAUCAACUGUUACAUUGAAAUGGGUUUUAAUCCAGAGUAUCCAAAUGCUAAUACAAAGAACUUGUGCGUCUACAGGUGUUCAUUUGAAACUGUAUUUCUGUUUGAGACAGAAAGGUUCUAUACUCAAGAAAGUGUACAAUUCAUUCAGAACCAUCCAUUAACUGAAUAUAUGAAGAAGGUCGAGCAAAGAGUACUUGAAGAAAAAAAAAGAGUCCAAACAUGUCUUCAUGAAACAACAUGGGACAAGCUUAUUGACAUCUUUGAUAGAGUAUUAAUUGAGAGAUAUAUAGAAAUGUUUCUUGCAGAGUUUGUGGUACUACUUUUUAACAAUCAAACUGAAGACCUUGGAAGAAUGUAUCAGUUGGUAUCUCGUGUUUUAUUUGGUACACAAAACUUACGGGUCCUGUUUGAAGGCCAUGUUGCAGGUGUUGGACUAGCUUCCAUAAACCAAGUUGCUGAUGCUGCUAUUAAUGAUCCGAAACUUUAUGUGGACACUAUACUGGAAGUUCGUAAUAAACAUAAUGCCUUGGUUAUGACAGCUUUUAAUAAUGAUGCGGGAUUUGUUAAUGCUCUUGACAAAGCCUGUAAAAGAUUUAUCAAUGGAAAUGAUGUGACAAGGCUAGCAAACACUUCAUCCAAGUCAUCAGAACUACUUGCAAAAUAUUGUGAUUUAGUGCUAAAAAAGAGCAGCAAUGACCCUGAAGAAGCUGAACUUGAGGAUACACUCAAUCAAGCUAUGAUUGUCUUCAAUUACAUAGAAGACAAAGAUGUUUUUCUAAAAUUUUAUACCAGACUGCUGGCAAAGCGUCUGGUCCACAAUACGUCUGCUAGUUAUGAUGCAGAGCUGUCAAUGAUCUCUAACUUAAAACAGGCUUGUGGAUAUGUGUACACCUCAAAGAUGCAAAGGAUGUUCCAGGACCUUGGUGUUUCUAAAAACCUGAAUGAGGAAUUCAGAACAUAUCUGAAUAAUUCAUGUAAGCCAAUGGCCAUAGAUUUCAGUAUCCAAGUACUUUCAUCUGGUUCUUGGCCAUUUCAGCAGCCACGUGGAUUUACGAUACCCAGAGAACUCGUACAUAGUGUACAUCUUUUCACAGAGUUCUAUAACAGCCAGCGCAGUGGUAGGAAACUCUGUUGGUUGUUCAAUGUAUCGAACGGAGAACUGGUUACACACUGCUUCAAAAGGAGGUAUACAUUGCAGGCUUCAACCUUCCAGAUGGCAAUAUUACUGCAGUUUAAUGUGAGUAAGACCUGGACAGUACAACAACUACAAGAGUCCACCCAAAUUGGGUUGGAUGUAGUAAUACAAGUUAUCCAGUCUCUCAUGAAAGCAAAACUUCUGCAGUCAGAAAGCGAUGAAAAUGAUUUGCUACCUAAUUCUGUUAUAGCAUUACCGAAAAUCUACAAAAAUCGGAAAUUCAGGGUGAAUAUCAACAUACCUCUGGAGACAGAAAUAGAAACGGAACAAGAUCAGACAAAUGUGCACAAGAAUAUAGAAGCAGAUCGCAAAAUAUUAAUACAGGCAGCUAUAGUGAGAAUAAUGAAAAUCAGAAAAACAUUGAAGCACCCGCAACUUGUUGCAGAAGUAUUGAACCAUAUGUCAUUAAGAUUUAGACCCAAAGUUCAUCUUAUCAAAAAAUGUAUUGAUAUACUAAUUGAGAAGGACUAUUUGGAAAGAUCAGAUAGUGACAGAGAUACAUACAAUUAUCUUGCUUGAAGACUACAUGGCUAACGACGUGAAAAUGGUGGUCAAAUGUUUCUGCAGCAUGAAGAAAAUGUUACAUACUGUAUAGAAUCAUGUGCGUCCAUUGUCAUCCGUUCAUUGAAGGAUUGUACUCAGCUGGCAACAGGCCGAGGUGAAGACAAUAUCUUCAUCCUCAGCGCUGCCCGUGGCGCUGGUGGAACUCGCGCAAGUGGCGUCAUGAGCUCACAUGUUUGCACCUCUGGUGCUUUGGCUAUGGCUGUGUCUUCUUCGGAUGACACAGCACUUUUAAUUUCUAUCAGUUAUAUCUGAAAAUUUAUACAUACAUCGUAAAUUUUUUUAAAAAAAGUGGAUGUUCAGUGUAUAUGUAUGGUAAGGGUGUGUAUUAUUGAUGUCCUACUAACUGUUCUAAUUGUUGGUGUUGUGUAUAAAAUUCUUGUUAA
rnacentral:misc_RNA from 1 species